GUAGGUGGCAAGCGUUGUCCGGAAUUAUUGGGCGUAAAGCGCGCGCAGGCGGUUCUUUAAGUCUGAUGUGAAAGCCCACGGCUCAACCGUGGAGGGUCAUGGAAACUGGAGAACUUGAGUACAGAAGAGGAAAGCGGAAUUCCACGUGUAGCGGUGAAAUGCGUAGAGAUGUGGAGGAACACCAGUGGCGAAGGCGGCUUUCUGGUCUGUAACUGACGCUGAGGCGCGAAAGCGUGGGGAGCAAACAGGAUUAGAUACCCUGGUAGUCCACGCCGUAAACGAUGAGUGCUAAGUGUUAGGGGGGUUUCCGCCCCCCUUAGUGCUGCAGCUAACGCAUUAAGCACUCCGCCUGGGAGUACGGCCGCAAGGCUG
rnacentral:rRNA from 1 species